GACGAACGCUGGCGGCGUGCUUAACACAUGCAAGUCGAACGGAAAGGCCCUGCUUGCAGGGUGCUCGCGUGGCGAACGGGUGAGUAACACAUGGGUGAUCUGCGCCUUACAUUGGGAUAAACCUUGGAAACUGGGGCUAAUACAGGAUAGGACAAUGCUUGCGGCGGUGUGGUGGAAAGAAAAGUUUCGGUAGGGGAGGAGGUCGCGGCCGAUCAGCUGGUUGGUGGGGGAAUGUCGUACCAAGGCGCCGACGGGUAGACGGCCUGAGAGGGUGGACGGCGACAUUGGGACGAAGAUACGGCCCAGACUCCUACGGGAGGCAGCAGUAGGGAAUAUUGCACAAUGGGGGCAAGCAUGAUGCAGCGACGCCGCGGGGGGGAUGACGGCCUUCGGGUUGUAAACACCUUUCAGCGAUGACGAAGCCCUUGUGGUGACGGUAGUGGUAGAAGAAGCACCGGCUAACUACGUG
rnacentral:rRNA from 1 species